AGCCGCGAACGGGUGAGUAACACGUGGGUUACCUGCCUCGAUGACCGGGACAACCCGAGGAAACUCGGGCUAAUACCGGAUGUGCCCGCAAGGGGAAAGGAAGCUUCGGCCUCCGCAUUGAGAUGGGCCCGCGGCCCAUUAGCUUGUUGGUGAGGUAACGGCUCACCAAGGCUUCGAUGGGUAGCUGGUCUGAGAGGACGAUCAGCCACACUGGGACUGAGACACGGCCCAG
rnacentral:rRNA from 1 species